rnacentral:rRNA from 1 species
UGUGCCCUACGGGGCGCAGCAGUGAGGAAUAUUGGUCAAUGGGCGAGAGCCUGAACCAGCCAAGUCGCGUGAGGGAGUACUGCCCUAUGGGUUGUAAACCUCUUUUGUCGGGGAGCAAAAGCCGGACGUGUCCGGCUGUGAGAGUACCCGAAGAAAAAGCAUCGGCUAACUCCGUGCCAGCAGCCGCGGUAAUACAGAGGAUGCGAGCGUUAUCCGGAUUUAUUGGGUUUAAAGGGUGCGCAGGCGGAUUUUUAAGUCAGCGGUCAAAUCGUGGGGCUAAACCCCAUCCAGCCGUUGAAACUGUC